UACAGAGGCCUCAAGCGUUGUUCGGAAUCACUGGGCGUAAAGGGUGCGUAGGCGGCACGGUAAGUCAGAGGUGAAAUCCCGGAGCUCAACUUCGGAAUUGCCUCCGAUACUGCCGUGCUUGAGGACUGGAGAGGAGAUUGGAAUUCACAGUGGAGCAGUGAAAUGCGUAGAUAUUGUGAGGAACACUAGUGGCGAAGGCGAAUCUCUGGACAGUUCCUGACGCUGAGGCACGAAGGCCAGGGGAGCAAACGGG
rnacentral:rRNA from 1 species